rnacentral:rRNA from 1 species
GGGAAUUUUCCGCAAUGGGCGAAAGCCUGACGGAGCAAUGCCGCGUGGAGGUGGAAGGCCUACGGGUCGUCAACUUCUUUUCUCGGAGAAGAAACAAUGACGGUAUCUGAGGAAUAAGCAUCGGCUAACUCUGUGCCCG